rnacentral:snRNA from 1 species
GUGCUUGCUUCGGCAGCACAUAUACUAAAACUGGAACGAUACAGAGAAGAUUAGCAUGGCCCCUGCACAAGGAUGACAUGCAAAUUCGUGAAGUGUUCCAUAUUUUU